rnacentral:rRNA from 1 species
CCUACGGGAGGCAGCAGUGGGGAAUAUUGCACAAUGGGCGAAAGCCUGAUGCAGCAACGCCGCGUGAGGGAUGAAGGCCUUCGGGUUGUAAACCUCUUUUAGCAGGGAAGAAGCGAAAGUGACGGUACCUGCAGAAAAAGCACCGGCUAACUACGUGCCAGCAGCCGCGGUAAUACGUAGGGUGCAAGCGUUGUCCGGAAUUAUUGGGCGUAAAGAGCUCGUAGGCGGUUUGUCGCGUCUGCUGUGAAAAUCCGAGGCUCAACCUCGGACCUGCAGUGGGUACGGGCAAACUAGAGUGCGGUAGGGGAGAUGGGAAUUCCUGGUGUAGCGGUGGAAUGCGCAGAUAUCAGGAGGAACACCGAUGGCGAAGGCACAUCUCUGGGCCGUAACUGACGCUGAGGAGCGAAAGCGUGGGGAGCGAACAGGAUUAGAUACCCUGGUAGUCCACGCCGUAAACGGUGGGUGCUAGUUGUGGGUUCCAUUCCACGGAAUCUGUGACGAAGUUAACACAUUAAGCACCCCGCCUGGGGAGUACGGUCGCAAGACUAAAACUCAAAGGAAUUGACGG